UAAGUCAAAACCCCCCCUUAUUUCUCCCUCUCUACGUCUCCCCCCCAUUUCUCUCUCACCAAUACCAGAACACCUUCCCUUCUCCUCCUCUCUUCGCCAUCUCUCUCUCUCAAAGAGGAAAUCCCCAAAAUCUGCAAAUCUACCCUUCCCAUCUCUUUUUCUCGGUUGGACGGUCAACGGCGAAGGACCACCACCGCCGCCGCCAACCUCCUCCUACUCACCCUCUCAGCCUCAUCUCCCUCUCACGCUACUGCCGCCGCCGCCGGACGGCGGCGCCGCCCGACGGAGGCCGGCAGCCGGCCCCUCUCUCUCUCCUCCGACUUCUCUCUCUUCCCCAGCCCUCUCUCUUCUCCUCAUCUCUCCCUCUUCUCCGUCGAUGGCAGCGGAAACCACCGCCGGCGCCGCGUCGACCGCAGCACAGCAGCAGCCGCCGCCUCCCCUUCACCCGUCUCCCUCUUGACCGGCAGCAGCAGCUGCCUCCGCCGUCCCUGCACGGAGCAGCGCCGCUGCCCCUCCUUUCCUGCAGAUCUGGCACCGCCGGUGCCGUGUCGACAGCAGCAGCGCCGUGACAGCGCCGGCGCCGUGGCCGACGCCGCUAACAGAAGAUGAAAACUUGAUGGAGAAUAACAGAAGAUGAAAACUUGAUGGAGAAGAAAACUUUAUUAUUUGAGUGCUU
rnacentral:lncRNA from 1 species